rnacentral:rRNA from 1 species
CUUGCUUCUCUUGAGAGCGGCGGACGGGUGAGUAAUGCCUAGGAAUCUGCCUGGUAGUGGGGGAUAACGUUCGGAAACGGACGCUAAUACCGCAUACGUCCUACGGGAGAAAGCAGGGGACCUUCGGGCCUUGCGCUAUCAGAUGAGCCUAGGUCGGAUUAGCUAGUUGGUGGGGUAAUGGCUCACCAAGGCGACGAUCCGUAACUGGUCUGAGAGGGUGAUCAGUCACACUGGAACUGAGACACGGUCCAGACUCCUACGGGAGGCAGCAGUGGGGAAUAUUGGACAAUGGGCGAAAGCCUGAUCCAGCCAUGCCGCGUGUGUGAAGAAGGUCUUCGGAUUGUAAAGCACUUUAAGUUGGGAGGAAGGGUUGUAGAUUAAUACUCUGCAAUUUUGACGUUACCGACAGAAUAAGCACCGGCUAACUCUGUGCCAGCAGCCGCGGUAAUACAGAGGGUGCAAGCGUUAAUCGGAAUUACUGGGCGUAAAGCGCGCGUAGGUGGUUUGUUAAGUUGGAUGUGAAAUCCCCGGGCUCAACCUGGGAACUGCAUUCAAAACUGACUGACUAGAGUAUGGUAGAGGGUGGUGGAAUUUCCUGUGUAGCGGUGAAAUGCGUAGAUAUAGGAAGGAACACCAGUGGCGAAGCGACCACCUGGACUAAUACUGACACUGAGGUGCGAAAGCGUGGGGAGCAAACA